AGUGAGCGCUGGCGGUAGGCCUAACACAUGCAAGUCGAACGGCAGCACAGGAGAGCUUGCUCUCUGGGUGGCGAGUGGCGGACGGGUGAGGAAUACAUCGGAAUCUACUCUGUCGUGGGGGAUAACGUAGGGAAACUUACGCUAAUACCGCAUACGACCUACGGGUGAAAGCAGGGGAUCUUCGGACCUUGCGCGAUUGAAUGAGCCGAUGUCGGAUUAGCUAGUUGGCGGGGUAAAGGCCCACCAAGGCGACGAUCCGUAGCUGGCCUGAGAGGAUGAUCAGCAACCCUGGAACUGAGACACGGUCCAGACUCCUACGGGAGGCAGCAGUGGGGAAUAUUGGACAAUGGGCGCAAGCCUGAUCCAGCCAUACCGCGUGGGUGAAGAAGGCCUUCGGGUUGUAAAGCCCUUUUGUUGGGAAAGAAAUCCAGCUGGCUAAUACCCGGUUGGGAUGACGGUACCCAAAGAAUAAGCACCGGCUAACUUCGUGCCAGCAGCCGCAGUAA
rnacentral:rRNA from 1 species